GUAGUCAUGCUGAGUGAUAAAGCGCUUGGCUUCCCAACCGGGAUCCCGGGUUCGAAUCCUGGUGAAGACU
rnacentral:tRNA from 1 species